rnacentral:rRNA from 1 species
UGAAGCGAAAUGCAGCAUAGCGGUAUCCUGAGUAACGCGGGACACGAGGAAUCCUGCGCGAAUCUGCCGGGACCAUCCGGUAAGGCUAAAUACUCCCGAGAGACCGAUAGCGAACCAGUACCGUGAGGGAAAGGUGAAAAGAACCUCGAACAGAGGAGUGAAAUAGACCCUGAACCCGUCUGCCUACAAGCGGUCGGAGCAACGUAAGUUGUGACGGCGUGCCUUUUGCAUAAUGAACCUACGAGUUACUUUCUCCGGCAAGGUUAAGUAUUUCAGAUACGGAGCCGAAGCGAAAGCGAGUCUGAACAGGGCGGUAUAGUCGGAGGGAGUAGACGCGAAACCAAGUGAUCUACCCAUGGUCAGGUUGAAGGUUAGGUAACACUAACUGGAGGACCGAACCGGUAAGCGUUGAAAAGCUUUCGGAUGAACUGUGGGUAGGGGUGAAAGGCUAAUCAAACUUGGAGAUAGCUCGUACUCCCCGAAAUGCAUUUAGGUGCAGCCUUUAUUUAGUAUAGCAUGAGGUAGAGCGACUGAUUGGAUGCGAGGGCUUCACCGCCUAUCAAGUCCAGAUAAACUCCGAAUGCGUGCUAUAUAUUGAUAAGGAGUGAGGGCGCGGGUGCUAAGGUCCGCGUCCGAGAGGAGAAGAAUCCAGACCAUCAGCUAAGGUCCCCAAAUAACAGUUAAGUUGAACUAACGAAGUCAGACUGCAGAGACAGCUAGGAUGUUGGCUUGGAAGCAGCCAUUCAUUUAAAGAGUGCGUAACAGCUCACUAGUCGAGGAGUUUGGCGUGGAUAAUACUCGGGCAUAAACUGUUUACCGAAGCUAUGGAUCCAGAGUUAUGGAUGGUAGGGGAGCAUUCCAGUGGCGUAGAAGGUGAGGGAUAACCCUUGCUGGAGCAGCUGGAAAAGCAAAUGUAGGUAUAAGUAACGAUAAAGGAAGUGAGAAACUUCCUCGCCGAAAGACUAAGGUUUCCUGAUCAACGUUAAUCGGAUCAGGGUAAGUCGGGACCUAAGGAUAAGCCGAACGGCGAUUCCGAUGGAAGAAUGGUUUAAUAUUCCCAUACUACUUUAUAGAGCGAUGUGGAGACGGAGAAGUGACAGUCCUGCCAUCUGACGGAAUAGAUGGUUAAAGGGUGUAGACGUUGAUCGCGGUAGGCAAAUCCGCCGUGAGAGUCGAACCUGACAGUAUGCCGAGUACUUGUACAAGGCAAUAUGGAUGUAAACAGGCUCCCUAGAAAAUCCGCUAAGCAUAUCUAUAGAGUACCCGUACCGUAAACGGACACACGUAGUUGGGUUGAGAAUACUGAGGCGCUCGAGUGAUUCACGGUUAAGGAACUAGGCAAAUUGACCCUGUAACUUCGGGAUAAAGGGUCCCUGUCAGCGAUGGCGGGGCGCAGAGAAUAGGUCCAGGCAACUGUUUAACAAAAACACAUGGCUGUGCGAAAUAGAAAUAUGAAGUAUACAGCCUGACACCUGCCCGGUGCUGGAAGGUUAAGAGGAGAGCUCAUCGCAAGAGAAGCUUUGAAUUGAAGCCCCAGUAAACGGCGGCCGUAACUAUAACGGUCCUAAGGUAGCGAAAUUCCUUGUCGGGUAAGUUCCGACCUGCACGAAUGGUGUAAUGAUCUGGACACUGUCUCAACCGUGAGCUCGGUGAAAUUGUAGUAUCGGUGAAGAUGCCGAUUACCCGCGAUGGGACGAAAAGACCCCGUGAACCUUUACUAUAGCUUUACAUUGAAUUUGGGCAACUAAUGUGUAGGAUAGGCCGGAGACUGCGAAGCAGGCACGCCAGUGUCGGUGGAGUCACCGUUGAAAUACGGCCCUUUGGUUGUUUGAGUUCUAACUCGUGGAAAUGAGGACACUGUAUGGUGGGUAGUUUGACUGGGGUGGUCGCCUCCAAAAGAGUAACGGAGGCUUCUAAAGGUGCCCUCACGACGAUUGGUAACCGUCGGCAGAGUGUAAUGGCAUAAGGGCGCUUGACUGGGAGACUUACAAGUCGAUCAGGUAGGAAACUAGAGCAUAGUGAUCCGGUGUUUCUGUAUGGAAAGGACAUCGCUCAAAGGAUAAAAGGUACUCCGGGGAUAACAGGCUGAUCCCCCCCAAGAGCUCAUAUCGACGG